AGUAACCUACUACGUAUCAUAUCAUAUGAACUCUAGCUAUGGCUAUAGGGAUGUUAAAAUGGGUUUUUUUCAAUAGGGUUAGUCCGGCCCGCUCCUGAUUUCAUAACCCUAAACCCGUUAAUUUUUGUUUGGGUUAAAUUAGGGUCGUCUAAAAUGAAACGCGGGUUAACCCUAAACCCGUUAAUUUUUUUUAAGAAAACAAAAGUAAACAAAGCGACGUCGUUUCUUCUGUCAACUCUCACCAUCUCAUCAUCGUUGUUUCUUCUCUCGACUCUCACCAUCUCAACCAGAGACGAGAUCCCAAUGGCCUCACCAUCUCAUCUCUCGCCGCCUUAACGCCUCACCAUCUCAUCUCAUCUCGUCGUCGUCACUCGUCAUCAUCAUUACUUCAGAGGGCAAACCAGAGACGAGAUCCCAAUCAUCUCAUCUCAUCUCAUCACGGUCACAAUCAGAUCAGCAAGCAUACCAUUUUGUAAACAGAGCAACGAGUGUUUGAAGAGACUCAAGAGUCAAGAGACUUGGAGAACAACAAGUGUUGGCUGACUUGAGAGUUUGAGUAAAGUUCUAUUUAUUAAAGUAGCUACAAAGUUGUGCCCAAGAGUUAUAUUUAUACUUUGCAUUUACAUUACAUGAAUGUUAACUUUGGUUUUUAAUUUCAGUGAAAGACAAAAAUGAAUAAAAGACACAUUUUGUUAGAAAUAUGAGAGAAGUGUUGUUGUGAAA